rnacentral:lncRNA from 1 species
UACAUCAUGUACGUGGCCCAGUACUUACUUGAUGUGACUCUCCUCUCAUGCCUAGACCCUGCUCACAGGUGAUGCUACUCUCUACUUAUGGCUGGGCCUUGACAAAAAGAGGGAUUGGGACAUAUCCCUGGACGCUGAACCUAAGAGGUGGAGGUUGCCGUGGUGACAGAGUGAGACUUCGCCAAAACAAAACAAAAAAAACAACAACAAAAGGCUGUGUGAAUCCUCUCUUCACCCUGGACCCUGCCAAAGGGAAAGAUUGAGACAUAUCACUGGAACUAGCACUUAGGCAAUGUGACUCUUCUCUUCUGCCUGCGAACCACAUUUUUGGGUAUUGUGACAUUUAAUCUUUAUUACAGGAAAGAUUGUUGAAAUAUGACUGGGCCCGGCAUCCAGGUUGGAUUGUGACAUACACUUUAGCACAGCUCAUGGUUGUGAUGAUGACACUUAUAGACUUACAGAAAUGAAUAAACUCCUGAGUCUUCUGUAGUAAGAACGUCAUAAAGGAUGGUCAUUCUUUCAUAUAUUGUGCAAUGUCUUUGCAUGGUACAAAGAGCGUCAUCACAGAACCAGGCACACAGAUGCACGUGACAUUUGGUGCCGAAGACCCAGGAUAGGAGGACUCCUUUGG